CACAGUGUCCCAAAAUACAAAAAUUAAAUAAAAACCACGGUGUCCCAAAUCAGGACGUGCCUAAUUCAAACCCUGCGCGUAUGCAGGUGCCAGGAAAGGAAAAGAAAACAAGAAAAUAAAAUUGGGGUUUACAUAUACGUGCUUUGCUUUUUUUUGUUUCGAUAUAUAGCUUACCAUUCUUGUCAAGUGGUAGUUUACAUAUAUGUGCUGGCUACUAUAUAUGCAUAAUUCUGCUUUCUCUCUCACUCAGAUCAGAGGAACGUACCAUUCAAAACGAAAAGUUCAGACGAAAGUUGGAUGGCUGAUGAGAAUGGUGUGUUUCCAACCUUGCAAUGGAGAAUGCCAAGAUGGGCAUGGCACCCCACCGCAAUGGCCAUUUCCAGUGGCCGGUACUAGCUAGCUCUUACAGACGAUGCGUGAAAGCAGAUCGUUUCUUUUUUAGUAGAAGCGGCAUAACAUUUAAGUUACGCUCCUUGCAAGAAUUCACGGAAGGGACAGAUAAACAUCAUGAAUCGAUCAGAAGGCUUGAGCGAGUGGUCAACUGAAAGUUUUAAAAUUCUGAAUUGACUUGGGUUAUUGCAGUUUAAUGUAU
rnacentral:lncRNA from 1 species